UUAAAGGGAUACUUCACCGAUUUAGCAUUGAGCUUUGUAUCAGUAGAAACACAGUAGUAUUUUUGAAUGACCGUGCUUCCCUCAUUCAUGCCCCCUGAGACAAGAGAUCUCUUGGAGUGUUCGUGCCA